AAGAGACAGCGCCGCCGGCCGUGGGGAGCGGACGCAGUGAUUUGCUCCCCCUCGUGCAGCAACCCCCACACCCAGCACCAGGCCCCCAGAACUCUCCUUCCAGCUGAACUCCCUGGGAACAAGUCAGUUGGGCUGAUCACUGAACUCACAUUUCUGGACCUGAGGAGCCUGUUCCUCUCACGCCCUCACCUGGCUGAGCCGCAGUAGUUCUUCAGUGGCAAGCUUUAUGUCCUGACCCAGCUAAAGCUGCCAGUUGAAGAACUGUUGCCCUCUGCCCCUGGCUUCGAGGAGGAGGAGGAGCUGCUUUCCCCAUCAUCUGGAAGGUGACAGAAAUGGGCUGGGAAGGUCCGAACAGCAGGGUGGAUGAUACGUUUUGGGCAAGUUGGAGAGCCUUUGCCCAGAUUGGCCCAGCAAGGAGCGGUUUUAGAUUAGAGACACUGGCUGGAUUGAGGAGUAGAAGGCUCAAACAACCCAAGCCCUGAUCCAUUCUCACCUAGCGGCUACAGGAAGCUGUGUCUG
rnacentral:lncRNA from 1 species